AUAGGAAGACGAGACUUGGCUGCAGAGAGAAGGCUAAUCAUAUCCUGCCCAUUCUGCCUGAAAUCCCUCUUUGUCUGCUUACCCAGCAUGAUCCAAUUCCUCCUCCCCACACCUGCUGUUACAUUCUGCAAACCUAGAACACACUCUGUACACAGAAAAUGUGUUCCUGGUCCUCACAGCCAGUCUCUCCUUGCUUGUGUUGAUAACAUGCUGGCUUCCUCAACUUCCAGCUCUACUUUUCACCUCUGCCACCCACUAGAUCAGGGUGGGCCUUGAGCAAUUUCUCAGGCACUGUACUGCAAAUGGGGAUACCAAGUGAGAGAAUUUGCCUGUAGCCCACAGCAGACCUCAUAGCCUAAAGGCAACCAUGCUGUAAGCAGGCAAAGAUCCACAGACUUGGGAAUUUUUGAUAUUUGGAACAAAGAAAAUCUUUCCCCACCAGCUUUUCUUUGGAUUAAUUACAACCACUCCUAUUUUUUUUCUUGAUGCCCUCCUGGAAGAUCUUCAGGUGUGCAGUACCUUCUUUAGAAAGUCUAUUCCAGUUUGUGUUCAUUGCUCCUUUUUUCCAGCUUCCCCCUCCUCUCUGGGGACUUCUCAUCUCCCCCUCUCCUGCUGCUCUGGGGAAAUGCUAAAGCUAGCUGCUAAUUAAAGUGGUUGCAAUUCCCCACUGGAACAGUGGCACCAGAGGCUGAAACCAUCCUGUGUCUGUGUCCCCUAGACACGGCCUGGCCAUGCUCAGACACCUUGCUGCCCACUCCUACUGUCACAGACUUUCCCAUACUGGCUCCAGCAGAUUUCCUCUGUGUUUUCUCAUUGGUGCUAAUCUCUUUCCAGUGCUGCAGGCAGGGGAUUGGAAGGUCACUCCACAGAUAAAGUGAAGAUCUCCCUGCCCUGGAAACAAUGAAAGGAAAAAAGCUGUGGGAGACAAGAUGAAGGACUAAAGCAAAGAUACAGCUCUGUCUUGUGCGGUGUCCACAACAACAGCAUUUUAAUUUGAUUUUUCUGUUGUCCUUUGUGGAGGUCCAACACACAGACAGUGCCUGCCACCCAAACAACACCAAACAUGUAACCCUCUUACUGCCCAGAUCAGCGACUUGCAAGAGCCAUGUCAGCAUGCACACAACGUAUGGCCUGCCCCGCAAAGAACAAAAAUUAAAAGCUGGCCCAUGUUUCUCCCCACGCAUGUUCUGCCCACCACACCCACAUCCACAGCUGUGGCUCUCACUAGUGCAGCAUAGAAGCAUGAGAGCAUCUUUUGUGCAGCACUGAAAUGCUGUCACUGAGCUGCAGCAUCACUUGUCAUUCACAGCCGCCAAACAGAGCUCAUGUUGUGUGACUGCGCACACCACUUCUGCAGCCACUGCUCACCAUGAUAGUGAUGUCUUAAGUUUUAACUUUCAUAUUUUUCAGAUUCUGUGCUGCCUAAUUGUGUAGUUCUGAGCUUCAUAUUAAGUAUUGGUAAGCUCUCUUCACAGAGAAGGUAGACAAAACAAUUCCUUGUCUAGCCUGGGACCAAGGACAAUUGUUACAAAUUUCAGGCCCAAGAGCAUAAACAAUGGUGUACUGGAGAGAGAAAACAAGAAGGAUGGGACAUCAUGAUCUGGAGCUGUAAUUGGACAAUUAACCCAAAAAUGCAAAUAGACCAAAACUUACAAAAGUGUGAGACCUCAUGACCAGUUGUCCAUUUUGUGGCCAUUUUAGGUUCAUCUUGAGUGUAGCCCUGGCCAGGCUCUUGUACUGCCCAAGGUGUAACUGUUGAGGCCUUUUAAUAAAUACCUACUUUAACUUUGUCUAACCUCUGUUCUAGGUCAGCCUUCUCAAGGCAUGAACAGUAUUACUAUUCUGGCUAGAAAUGUCCACCUCAAGCGUCUCUUGGAACAGGGAGACUCUUCGUCUUCAUCUGGAGAAGACUUUGUAGCUGCAUCAUAUACCAGCAUCAUCUUUAUUAGAACUAGCCCAGGCAAUGCAGCAGAGGCACUACAGUGUUUAACCACAGUGGACAUCUCUUCACCUGGCAUGUGAUACCUUACAGCCCCUGUCAGGAACUGGAGGUGUUCCUCUGUUAGGUGGGAGCAGGCAACACAGGUUUCAAGACCCAGAGCUGCACCUCAGUUCUCUGAACUAAGCAAAACUCAACUACAGAAUCACACAAUUUGCUUAGAAAAAACCUGUAAGAUCCUCAAGUCCAGUCUAUCUCUGAACACCACCAUGUCAACAGGACCACAGCACUGAGUCCCAUGUCCAGUCUUUCCUUAAACACCUCCAGGGAUGGUGACUCCACCACUUCCCUGGGCAGUCCAUUCCAAUGUCUAAUCACCCCUUUCUGUGAAGAAAUUCCUCCUAAUGUCCAGCCUGAACCUCCCCCUGACUAUGUCCUCCCAUCCUGUUGCUAGUAGCUUGGUAGAAGAGGGAAACCCCUACCUGGUCUCAACCUCUUUUCAGGUAGUUGCAGAGAGCCAUAAUGUCACUCCUGAGCCUCCUCCUCUCCUUUGUCUACAUAGAGAUGUCUAUCCAUAAACUUCAGAAUAUAUACCCAGCAUCUGUGUUUCAAACCUUCUAUGUAAACCAUCAUCAGACUCAAAUAAGCACAGACUUGUUCAAAAUCAUGCUCACGCACAAAUAUAUGCAUACAAGAUAUAUUCCUCUCAUCAGCCACACACACAACACACAACUGUACACAUGGAUCCAAGUGGAAAAAAGUGCAGAGUCAAAUGACUGUUUUCUGAAGGUACCAAGGCUAUUCCUGACAACCAUUCAAAUGACUUAUGUAGAGAUACAAAAAAUCCAGUGGUAGGAAUAUUUCAUGCAGUAAUGUUUUCCAAAGAACAUGACAGACUGAAGAACAUGAUCCUCAUUUAUAACAUAAGGCAGAACAUCUUGCAUAGCCAGUUCAAAGCCCUUUGUUGGUGUAAAUGAAGUUCAACUUUGCCACUUAUAGAGAAGUAGCACGGACGGGCUCUCUCUGCCUGGGGAUGGCAAGCAGAGGGCAAAAGGGGAGCUGAGAGAGCUCCACCCUCAGGGUGAUGCCAGGGGAGCAAGAGGAAGAUGGGCAGCAGUCACUGCUCCAAGGGAGACAACGCACAUCCAGGCACAGCCACUGGCUCACCCACAUCGACCUGUGUGCAUGGCAGCAGCCCCUUCUCAGUGGCUCUGACACAGAAAAGAAGGCAGAGGAGCAGUGACUGUUCUGCUGCCACCAGCAGCCUGCUGCCCUGGGCAACUGCCUGUGUAAGCCGUGCUUAAAGCUGGCACUAAUCAUGAUGGCCUUGAUAAAGUUUAGGAUGAGGGGACUUGGCUGCUUUCGACAUUGCUACCCUGUAUUUUUCUUUCAGCUAUGACAGAUAGUGAGGCAAGGAAACAAAUAAAAACAUCAUCACUGAAGUUGCCCAGAAGUUUCCAUUCAAUAUGCAAGAAAUUGAUAUGAGAAAGUCAAAACAGCUGCUUGGAGAUUCAGUUUAACAACAUCAGAAAUUUACUGUCAGGUGUUUGAAUAGAAAAUCUCAAUGAAAAGAAAGAAAUUGAAGAAUAACAUAGUCAAAAAUUUAAAUGAAAAGGUUUGACUUUUGAUUAUUGCAAACCAAACCAUUUUAUGCCAAAAUAGUCUAAUUGACAAUAAAAUAAUAAUUUUGAGUUUGAAGAGCCAUUUUUUUUGAGCUUGAAGUGGUUUAUGGGAAAUGCCUUAUGCUACUAUUUUAUGUUACCUCAUGGGAUCUUCAGGAGGAUUUCCUAUCCCAUGAGACGCAGUGGUGUCAAUCCGAGAGAUUCCAUGGCCAUCACAGCUGUGUGCCACAGUCACCAUGAGUAAUAGUGGAUGACAGGGGUGCUUGGCUCUUCAGGGAAAUGAGACAGCAUCCUGCUUCCAAACAAAAAAGAAAAGCAAGUAGAAAAGAGGUGCAGAGACACACUGAUAGCAAGAGGCAUUGGAAAGAUCCUCAGGAGGAUCUCGGGCUCGAGACUUACACACAGUUCCACUGAGGAGUGAGUUUGCAGACAAAUACUGCCUCUGCUAAACUGAGACCAUCAACAAGUCUAUGAAAAGAGCACUGUGCUAACUAAAAGCCUGAAUAAUAGCUUAUGAACUAAAUAAUUAAAGAUUAAACAACAUGACUAUCAACAAACUUUACUAGCCAGGGGUACUUAAGGAACAACUAGUUGUUGUUUCACCAAUAAAAAAUCAUCAGAACUGACAGGGAUAGGUAGAAGUAGCUGUUUUAUGUAGUGUUUAAAUACAUUUAUAUCUUCUUAGAAUCAGUUGUUUGGGUAAAAAGUAGAAAUGCAUUCAGAAAGGAUUCUGAUAGUUUCACUGCUGGUAACAAUGCAACUUUAUUGUUUAUCUAUGACUUUUAAAUUUCCUUAUUUGCUAAUGUUUGCGACUUUGGAAGGUGGCUAGAAAAGAUUGCUCACUGCUUGCUUACUGCUUUUAACUGGCUAUGCUAAAACCAUAAAAAUGGACAAGGUAAUCUUACAAGUGAUAAGGUGUCAGCUUUUAGGUUAUGUCCUACCACCAGCACUCAACCACAUGGGCUGUCUUACCCCGGAGUGAAAAUGUCAUCCAACAUCAGCUCAGCCAAAUAUAUCCAACUGCUGGUAAGACAUGCAGGGAUGUUCCCAAUAAUGUCGGUCUCAACUGUCAUCAAGCAGUAACUAUCAUUUCUCCCCCAGAUCAAAACAUAGUCUGUUCAACAGGGAGCUAAUAAAAAAAAAAACAAAACCAAAACUAAUUCUGAGGGGAAGAAUGACAGGAAAAUUUUUAGGCACAUAAAUUAUUAAUAUAAAAAAGAUGCUGUUGUUGUUCAAAAAUAGCCCAAGCUGCUAAUAGAUAAUUUGGAGUUACUCUUUGGGCAACAAUUGAAGCAGCCUGUCUAGGAAGAGGUUCUAAACUAAUACUUUCAUUAAAGUCAUGAGUAAGAAAGACUUACGCCAGAGACUGCAGCAGAUUUGUUACCUUUUUCUGACUGAAGCUGUGCAAAUAAGAAAAGAAAUAUCCACUUAGAUACUGAAUAAGUAGUCAAGCUAGAACCAGAUUUCUUCUGAAAAAAUAGUUCUCUUCCUGUGCAGAGAAUCCCUCCUCUCAACAACCUACAGUCAGAAAAGAAGAUAGAUUACAUCAAGCAUGCUAAAAUUUCUGCAAAUACGCAAUUUCCACUGUUAGGCUCCUCAAAAAAUCACACAGAUAUUUUGCUGGAGGCUGCCCAUUAUUGGAGCCACUUCAAUUUGCAGAUGGCCAAAGCAGAAAAGUCUAAAGCAAACAAAUUGACAUUACCAACCUGAUGUCUCUGUCUCAGGUUUCUGUUAAGUGUCAUGCAGGAAACUACAUACAGUAAGAGGAUUAAAUUUUCAAUCCCUGUAUCAAAGCAUAUGGGACUAAAUAAUCCCAAAACUCCUUUUCCCACAUUCUCAUGCUGAGGGUCAUGAUCAAACUAUUAAGAGAGGACAGAAAGGAGCUGUCAUGAUUCAAGGACUAAUUCUACCCUACUUUCCUUGUGAAAGCACAACCCUGAGCAGUAAAUUCACCACUGGUUUGCUUUUUUUCCCAGCAAUAUUGACCAAAUCAGGCAGUGCUGCAGCACCUUUUGAAUGUAAAUCCCUAGGAAGCUGCAGAGUCUUUCUAUUUCACAGCUGAUCAAAAGGACUCAGACACCAUGGUGCUGUGCUUGCAGACUGAAAUGGGCACCAACACCCCAGAUUUUCUCAGAGUUUGCUGAGAUCUGGUUUGGCCUUAGACAGCCCAUCUUAAUCUAUUGCCAUGGAAACCAUCUCAUUCCUGGGCACAAGGCCACCUUUUCCUGGGACACUCUGGGUUUUUUCCAGCUCAAGAAGAAGCAAUUAUUGUGGCAAAAAAAAAAAAAAAAAGAAAAAAAA
rnacentral:lncRNA from 1 species